GGGGCCGAUCUGGCUUCGACGUGGGUCACGAAACAGAGCAGGGCAUGUCGAGCACCAGUUCGCUCGUAAAUCCACUGGAAAACUAUAAACGCCAACGAUGAGCGUUUCGCUCUAGCCGCUUAAUAACCGGUCUUUAGAGCCGCUGCACUAGUUUGUCUUUGGGCUAGGUUAGGUUUCUAACAGCAGCGUCAUAUUACAAAGAAUCGGUCUGGUUCGGGCCACACGAACUUAGACCUAAAACGAUGUGGAUCGCCAAAAGAUGGCCUGUCGAAUGGCAUGGCUUGCGGCUAAAACUUAAAAUUAUUCGACUACACAUGUAGAACUGCCUGCGGAGGGCUUGCGGACGGGGGUUCAAUUCCCCCCGGCUCCACCA
rnacentral:tmRNA from 1 species